rnacentral:sRNA from 1 species
UACCUCCACUAGGGAUCGAAGCGGUUGU